rnacentral:rRNA from 1 species
UUGAACGCUGGCGGCAUGCUUUACACAUGCAAGUCGAACGGCAGCGCGGGCUUCGGCCUGGCGGCGAGUGGCGAACGGGUGAGUAAUGCAUCGGAACGUGCCCAGUAGUGGGGGAUAGCCCGGCGAAAGCCGGAUUAAUACCGCAUACGACCUGAGGGUGAAAGCGGGGGACCGAAAGGCCUCGCGCUAUUGGAGCGGCCGAUGUCGGAUUAGCUAGUUGGUGGGGUAAAGGCUUACCAAGGCGACGAUCCGUAGCUGGUCUGAGAGGACGACCAGCCACACUGGGACUGAGACACGGCCCAGACUCCUACGGGAGGCAGCAGUGGGGAAUUUUGGACAAUGGGGGCAACCCUGAUCCAGCCAUGCCGCGUGCGGGAAGAAGGCCUUCGGGUUGUAAACCGCUUUUGUUCGGGAAGAAAUCCUCUGGGCUAAUACCCCGGGGGGAUGACGGUACCGGAAGAAUAAGCACCGGCUAACUACGU